rnacentral:tRNA from 1 species
GGGGACGUGGUGAAAUGGUAUCACAACGGUCUCCAAAACCGUUUUUCCCCGUUCGAGUCGGGGCGUCCCUG